GAUGAACGCUGGCGGCGUGCCUAAUACAUGCAAGUCGAGCGAACAGACGAGGAGCUUGCUCCUCUGACGUUAGCGGCGGACGGGUGAGUAACACGUGGAUAACCUACCUAUAAGACUGGGAUAACUUCGGGAAACCGGAGCUAAUACCGGAUAAUAUAUUGAACCGCAUGGUUCAAUAGUGAAAGACGGUUUUGCUGUCACUUAUAGAUGGAUCCGCGCCGCAUUAGCUAGUUGGUAAGGUAACGGCUUACCAAGGCAACGAUGCGUAGCCGACCUGAGAGGGUGAUCAGCCACACUGGAACUGAGACACGGACCAGACUCCUACGGGAGGCAGCAGUAGGGAAUCUUCCGCAAUGGGCGAAAGCUUGACGGAGCAACGCCGCGUGAGUGAUGAAGUUUUUCGGAUCGUAAAACUCUGUUAUUAGGGAAGAACAAAUGUGUAAGUAACUAUGCACGUCUUGACGGUACCUAAUCAGAAAGCCACGGCUAACUACGUG
rnacentral:rRNA from 1 species